UACGUAGGGUGCAAGCGUUGUCCGGAAUUAUUGGGCGUAAAGAGCUCGUAGGCGGUUUGUCGCGUCGAAUGUGAAAACCCGGGGCUCAACCCCGGGCCUGCAUUCGAUACGGGCAGACUAGAGUGUGGUAGGGGAGACUGGAAUUCCUGGUGUAGCGGUGAAAUGCGCAGAUAUCAGGAGGAACACCUGAGGUGAAGACGGGUUGCUGGGCCAACACUGACGCUGAGGCGCGAAAGCCAGGGGAGCAAACGGG
rnacentral:rRNA from 1 species